rnacentral:lncRNA from 1 species
GCGGCUCGCGGCUCCUCGCCGCCGCGCCUCCGUCCCUCCGCGGGCUUUGCCAGCCGCCCGGCUUUCGUCGGGGCCAAAUAUGUGCGCGCGGAGGUUAAUCUGUGCCUGCUACCCAUCCAUGACGCGUGACAUGUUUAGCUGGGCUGCCUUAUAUGGACAGCGCUGUAUUUGAGUCCAGUUUGCUUUCUGCCAAGUUUACCGGGCGGAAGACGCCCUGCAGAAGAGGCUGUUGUUCUUCCCCUCCUCUGCUGUUUCCCCCAUCGUUUUGUGGUGCGUCACUCACAAACUGUAAGAAAAUCCAGGAGGUAUUUAAGUGUGGUUCCAUUUUAACUUCAUUGCUUCAUGCCAUCUGCCCAGUGAGCGCCGUUCGAUGCUGCUUUCAGUUAUAAAGGUCCAUCUGAAAAUAGAAAUUUUGUGUGAGUUCUGACAUCACUCAAGAAAAAAUUCCCUCAUGUUUCUUAUAGUACAAUAAGUAUGUUUGUGUGUUACAUCAGAGCAGGAAUUGCAUGGAAUUUGAAAUUUAAUCAGUAGGAUAAAGAGGGCUUGUUGUUAUAGAGGAUACAAAAAGUCUGAUUUUUCAUUACAAAACUGUUAAAUUCUAUAAUAUUGUUUUUGUUCAGAGAAGUUUAUUAUAUAUUAAAAUGUACAUUGCAGGUUUACCUCAGAAGCACUGUAUCUAUUAGCAAAUACUAUAUAGUAGACAUUUUCCUUCAAUAAUUAUUUUAAAACAAAACUUUUUCAUAGAGAAAAUGCUUGCUGGAAUUUUCACAGUCUGUAUAUUACUCUCACAGCUUCUCUGUCUGUAGAAUAAAACCCCACCACUGUUGAGGAAAUGAAUUCAAUAUUGGUGCAAAUCCUAUGAAUCUUAAUUUACAAAAACAGUUGUACAGCUUUUUAAAUCUUUCUUAAAAUUGUUUUGGAAUAAAAGGAAACAAUACAAGAUUUGAUAUAAUUUGAUUUUUUUAACCAAUAGUGCCCUGUAUGAAGGGCUGGGACCCACAUUACGAGAUCAAAUUAAUGUAGUUACACAUGCAAUUAAGUGUCCAUUCUAACUGCUAUACUUUUAAAAGUAUUUUGAUUAUCUGUACAUAUAGUCUUCACAAUUGAAUAGUGUUGUCAGCCUACAAAUGUAUCUUUGUAAUUCUUUUAGUAACACUUUUUUAAGUUGGUAGAAUUGCUCUCCUAUAGAAAAUAAAAUAACUCAAACACUAAUUUGUAAGACUUUUAAUAAUUAAAGCAUAUUUUGUACUUGAAUGGAAGCCUCAAGUAGCCUGUAGCAAUGGCAGAAAGAAAAAAAAAACUAUCUUAUUUAGAAAUUAUCCACUUUAUUUAUUAUUUUUAUUGAAUUUAUUGGUACAUUUUAGGCAUGCAGUACAGUUACAUUCAUUAUUGGGAUCUUGUACCUUUACAUGACAGCUCUUGGUUCUCAUUUUUUUCCCCUUGUCCCUGCCCUCCCUUUAGAAACGAUCCAUUUUAGAAAUUAUUUUUGUUUUAUUUAGACUCAAUUGGCAUGUGGUGCAGAUAAUUCUCAUGGUACCAUUCUCCUUCCUCACGUAGUCUGGACCCCAUAUAUCAAGUUUAAACAUUUCCUUUGGUUGAGAACACAUCUUUGUAUUUAUAUUUAUUCCUAUUAUUAUGAACAAAGUUUAUUCAUUUCCUAAACAUUUAAAAAAAAGCCUGUUAUGUUCCAAGAGCUGGGCAGUAGACAGUGGUAUACACCCUGUUGUCUGGGAGUGUAUGAUCUUGGAGAAGGAAGCAGGAACAUACAUGAAGGGGUAAAUGUAAUCUGGAUAUGGAAGAUAUUCUGAUAUGGAUUAAUGUUUAGCACAGUUAACCAAGCCUUACAGAGAAGGCGAUGCCUGCAUAACAAUUUAAAUAGGGGUGAGGAAUUAAUGUGUCAUGUCAAACAAAGGGCUAGCGUGUAGCAAGUCUCAGGAACUCGCAGCAACACAGUAUAUGCCAAGAGCCUUCAGUCGCUUGUCUGUGAGGAUACAAGAGGUGCAGCACAGGCAGAAGCCAAAGGGUAAAAUGUGUUAGCUUCGUCUAAGGGGAGGGUUCCAGUGGGAGAGUGGCAGUGGUGUUAGAGGUCAGAGAAAGACAGGGAGUAAACAUAAUCUUUGGAUUUGGCUUUUAUGAGACCAUUGUCAACUUCCCUGAACAGUGAAGUCAAACUGGUAUGAGUUCACAAAUAGGAGAGGAAGAAGAAGAGAAAUAGCACAUGUACGUGACACUUUAGAUAUUGGGGGUGACAUACUAAGUGCAUUGGCUGGAGAGUGAUGUAUCGCCAGGGCAGGGUCCCUUUCCUCCUACCAUGCCGCCUUCUCCACUUCGGAGUUACUUCAGUAUAUUUAAAGACGGAGAGAAAAGAACUCCUGGAAAGACAGGACAUGCAUGUACAAAAGGAGUGAAAAAGGAAAGAGGCCUCGAGGAGGAAUAAGUCAAGGUGGAAGCUUGUGGAAGCUUAACCAGUAACAGCCGAGAGGAGAACUUGUAUGAUGGAGAAGAAAGAUACAGAUAGUGAUACAUGAGUAAGAAGAUCAGGGAAAAUUUAUGUCCGUGGACUGUGUUUUUGUUUAUAAAAUGUUUAUGACUUAAGACCCUCUGCUAUAGAUAGUAAGAAAAGCAUGAAGAAAGAAGGACUUGGAAAUGAUGAAGAAUUAGAAAAAUUGUGAUAUGGGAUGAAAGAGGGAGCUGUCCAAGACUGAGGAAAGCUAGACAGUUGGACACAAAAUGACUCUGGGACACUUGUAAUUUACAGAGGCAGUGAUCUGUGUGUCUCUGUAUGUUUUCAAGUGUGUUAAUAUGCUAUGUCCAUAAUGUGUUUUUGUGAGUAUGUUUGUGUAUGUAUAUGCAUUUUUCAGCCCUGGAAAUAAUUCCAGUCCUCCUGAGAUAGUAAGUGAUAAUUUAAUGUCCUAAUGUUUUUUGGGCUCCAUCUAUUUUUCUGUCAGUGUGGUAGGCACUGAGGUUGCUGAUUACUACUAUUAUUUCUACCCUUGGGGAUACUUAGGCUAGUGGAUGAGACCUAGAAGGAAAUAAUAUGCUGUGUACUGCACAAGGUGCAGAGGUAAUUUAGAGUUGGCAAUAUUCAUAUGCAGUUGGAUGGAAGUGGAGGAAGUGAGUUCUUGAAAGUUUUCUUGGAGGAAGUGGUGUCUUCCCUCGCUUUAUAGGAGGAGAACCAUUGCUGGUAAGAUAUUUUAAGCUUGUGGAGAGCAGUACUAAGUCAUGCAUGUGGUACAUGCUCAAGCCAUGACAUUAUUGAGAAAAUUCUGAAUGCAGAACAAAUUCAGGAAGGUAGAACAGCUUGGGGUUUUUGACUCUUAAUUGACUUUUUUCUUAUGGAGCCAGGUGUUAGGAC